GAACAGGCUGCCCAGGGUCAUGGCACCAAGCCUACUGAAGUGUCUAUGUAUGUGAUAAAAUAAUUUCCACUCCAUCUUUCCUUUACCUCAUCAUUGCUGUGGAAGCAAGAGAUAAGAGCAGCAACCCGAGGUGGAACACAAGCUACCACUGUAAAUAUUGUGAAAUUGUUACACAAGACUCCCUCCAGAAUUUGGAAAUGCAUUAAAGAAUUCCAGGUUUGUACAUGGAUGUUUAAUCCUUGGAAAAAAAAAACAGUUAGGAAGAAAGUCAGUGACCUGGAGUCUAUUGCUGAUUUGGGCACCGGCCUGAGAACUGAUUUGAGCAUUGCAUACAAUUGUCAUCACUAUCCAAUACCACCAGUUUGAUUUAGUGACUGAUGUGCUACAGGAGAUAACAUGGCUAUCACUGGCAAGUAACAACAAGAGUCACUGCCAGGCUGAUGUUCUCCUGUGCCAAAGUACAUUCUCAUUUCUCUAACCUGAGUGAGUCAAAAUGGUGCCAUUUUUGUGCAUUGUUAUAAGUAGGUAAGACUUAUAGUAUGUUGCUGGUAUGUUGUCUUUGUAGAAAUUAAGUUAUUGUUGAGAUGAUCUCCUGACUGCACCAUUUUCUAUUCAGGAGACCAUUCCUUGCUUUGAUUUAAGAAGGAAAAAAAAAAUCAACCUUCUUUGAUUUUAUUUUCAUGCAUUUACCGCAUACUGUCUUUUGGUACAUUUCUAGUUGCUAUGUGAUGUGAGGUCCAUGUAAAUCAUUCUACUUCCCUUAUAAGAAGUACUUAUAAGUGAUCACAGAUGUGUUCGUAUGCCAUCUUUUACAUGGACUGAAGCAAUCAAGUCUCGAAGAUGCUUAGCCUGAAACCAACACUGGGUGAAAUGACACAUUAUGGCAGAGCCAAUCUUAGUAAUUCACUGGUUAUUAAAGGAAAAAAGUCAUACUACCUUCCCUCUCUACACCAAGCUUUGCAUUUCUGAUGCUAGCCAUGCACAGAUCUGGUGCUCACUGAACCCCUCUGUGAGCUGAUUCAACUCAUUGAUCUAACAAUGCCAAAUAUUAUAUUGCUGUGAGUGGAUUUUGAUGAGCAAAUGUGGUUGGCUCAGCAAAGCACCUGUUGGCCUCAGAUCUAUAACCAGGGAGGAGUUAUGAUCAAGCACUGAGGACUGGUGCAGUGAGUGGAGGGUGGGAAGGAAGGAACAGGAAUCCUGCCUUUGGCAUACAGGAGCUAGUUUGUGUUAGUUUGAUCACCUUAUGUAACUGUUCACUUGACCUUUUGGGAACAGGCCAGGCCCUGCUCAAAUAUAUCUAUCAGACGGUGACAGUUAUAGAGAAAGACUGGUAUAUCAACAUGAAGAAACUUGUCUAAAUGUUAGAAAUGUGCUUGUUACUUGUGACCUUUCACACAGGAAAAAAAAAAAAAAGAGUAUGUAUGUCUAAAUAACCUCCUGUUUUCAUCAACAGGACUAGAGAUUGAAAGUUUCCAUUUGUACAAAGGAAAUGAUGCUUUAUGUCCAUCUUGCAAAUCAGCAAACUGAGCCAAGGUGCCACAGUGGUGCUUUGACUAUUGUUGUGUGAAUAUAGUCAGCAUUAAUGCUAGAAAAAACAGCAUGGGUGGAUCAUGUCAGUACCUACUCUUACUGCACUGGUGUUUCUGAGCAUAAAGUGUUUCCAGAAUGUGCUUCACAGAAUACCUGAAGAUGGCCUCCCAUGGAAAGGCUUCAUGGCUUCCUGGAGACCCUUAAGAUCUUCUUUUUGGUUACUAAACCAAACAACAGUCAAAAGUUGUUUGUAAUUGGGUACAGUGCUUGGUGCAUUAGGGAGGUGGGUUUUUUUCUGUUAUUGUAAAAAUAGGAGAAGAUUCAUCUAUGAGCUAAGCUUGUAGCUGAAAUAUGGUCACACCCAGGCAUAGUUUGAGAACUUUUGUGUUCUAGGAAAGCUAUUCACUCAAAGGCUGUGAUAAAUCAAAAAAAAAAAAAAAAAAAAAAAAAAAAAGAGCAGUCUGUGUUUAUUUUUGGUUAAUGAACAAGGAGAAGUAUGCGAAGACAUCAGGCACAUUGAGACGUAUUUUUCCUACUAACAAUGUGGUUGAUUAAGGUGGACAGAUGAGGGCCACAGAGAUUAUGCAAAUGUCACUUAGGUAAAUGUUUGUGUUAGGGUGGGGAUGAACACUGUCCUGUUUCAGAAGUGAACUAAAGACCUUUAAACUUUACCUGCUGGGAUAAUGUGGAUACAUUUGUUCUUUGAUUAAAGGAUGCGCUCACUCCUCGCAUGCUAGUGCAUUGCAACUGCACACUUACUGUCCUUCUCUAAAGGACUAAAGCUGAACCUCUUAGAUCUCAAAUUCUGUUGCUAUGAAGUCUUCUUACAGUUUAUCAUGCUGCUUUCCCAAAGAACAGGGAAUGUGUGCCAUCCCUCAAACACCCCUUCCUAGAUGCUUAACCGAGUCCCUCGGUAACCUUGAGAUCAGUCCUCCCAGACUGCAGAAAUUCUGGCUGAAAAAUACGUGUUCUAAAGCAGAUCUUUACAGCACUUUUCCAGUCCCAGAUUUUGGACCAAUUUUUUUAGCAACGGCCACCAUAAACCUUUGAAAUAGUCUAUGAUGUGUAUCUCUAGGUAAAACAUCUCUGACCACUGAGUGUGUUAAAAUGAUCAGUUUUCAGUCAAUAUGCCAAGUACGGGCCAGAAAGUUCUGGUCCAAAGUCUACUCUGCAGCAGGUCCCUCACAUUGAUUACACAGUCAUCUAGCACUACUCUAGAUAUGAAAUCGCUAUCACCCUACCUUCUUUUACACAUCACCAGUCCUGUAUGACCAGUCAGCAGCUGGACACGUGUUGACUUCAGUGGGAGCAGAAAUGGAAAACUGCAGAACACCACUGUUCUGAUGAGCUGAAGCGGUACAGUAGUAGCAUUAGCCUCCAGAAGGAGUCAGCUUGCAUACAACACCCUCAUACAGUCCUGGUGAAUGCCUGAGAAGCCAUUAGUUUUCUGAGGGCCAAUACCCAGCUGUGAACUGUCAAGAUGCUCAUCUCAGUAACAUUAUCCUUUUUUUUUUUCCAUUUGCUUUGUCAGGAAUAAAUGUAACACACUGCAGGAACAUUUUGCAGUGGAUAAUAAUGCUGCCACCAUGUAUUUGGUUGAUACACUGACAGAGAUCUCCAGCUGGGAGAGUUCAAAUAUGAAAGCUGUACUAAUGUUUCUGUUCUUGUUAGUAUUCUUGCUAGGACUGGGAGAAGAGUCUGGAUUAUGAAGAGGAGUGGGGAGUAUUAAUUUUCAUUUACUGAACUGCCUAGAAAUAAUUUGAACCACCCACACAGCAGAACAAGCUGAUGUCAGAGCCAGUGAGGUUAUCAACACCAAUAAAAAAGCAGUUGUCACACAGAUUAGACAUUACAUGUUAGCAAAAAACUGCUGGUAUAUUAUUUUUAUGCAAAUUGAAAGUAUUUCUAUAACCUCUGACCCUGCCUGUAAACAUCAGAUUCCAGGAAUUCUGCUGGAAACCAUACAUUACUAAGGUAAAAUAAUACUUAGUAGUGAACAUGGUUUCCUCAGUAGAAGAAUCUGGAAGUGGAAGAAUGUAAGACCUUGAAAUGCACUGCUGAGUGCAAGGAAACUGCUGAGGCCACCUCCUGCCAAACAUCUGGGAAAACACACACCCCUUCAGAGCUGCCAGUGGAAAUAUGUAAACCACACACGGCUGUGAUGCAUGAGCACCUCGUUAACAUGCUAUCAGGCGUUCCCAGAUAGCAGCUGCGCAGGGCCAGGAGUAAGUGGACACGCAAUUUCAGCUUGCUCUGACAUGAAACGGGAAGUCAUCGGAGGUAUUCAAAGAACUAAGUGGAAGGACAGGGAGGUUAUUUUAAGGACAGCAGAAGAAAUGAGGAAAAAGUUGGUGAGAAUGGGAAAGAUAGAAAAUGCAGCAGCAGUCCAAAAGGAAAAAUCUCCUUGGAACUGGAGAGGAUUUCACUGAGUGGUGAGGAAAGAGCUGGAAGGUGGUCAGAGGAGGAAAUAUGGAUCUUGGAUAGAAGCUAUACAUAGAAGUGAACAAGAGGAAUGCAAAGUGGAUGUCUGUGCCUUGAAGGUUUGCUCGAAGGAGGCUGAAUUAGUUCCUCAAGGGGUUGUCUGCAUGCAGGACUACUAAAAGCAAGUGGCGAGGUUGUGGAUUGGCAGGUAGAAAGUGGAAAGUCUGGAGCAUUGGGAGGUAACCUUACCCCUUCUUAUCUAAAUAGACUGAGGGGACACCAUUGCAAAGAUGAGAAAUGAAUAAAGGGCAAUCCUGUGCUGCAGGAAACUAAGCUGGUCUAUCAGUGGGGUGUUGCACUGCAUUGGAACCCUUGCUGGUCUGGUGCUGGUGUCCUGAUUUCAAGGAUGCAGUUACUGAAAUGGUAAUAGUUCAAGUGUACUGAUUCAAAUGCAGAGAUUCAAAUGAGACAUAAAAUUAAGUAAUUGAAAGGUGGAUUUUAUAAAAGAAUCCUCAACAAGAAAGGCCAUAGUUUUCAGGGGACAUAUUUGAUAGAGAAUUAAGAUAAAAUACAAAUGUUAAUGAGGCUCACUGAGCAGAGGUGAGGGAAGAAUUGCCAGUGAUCCCAGUCAAGAAUAUCUUGUCCUCAGACAAGAAGUUUAUAUCACCUCCAGGGUUGAACAGCAGCCACUCUUCCCACUCAGACAUCAGAAAGAUCACCCAACUGGGUAUGAUGUACUGCCGUUCUCCACGUAGCUUUCACGCUUCACUCAGAAUACAGAGCUAUGGCAGCUACUGUGUGAACACAGGCACACAUUCUUUCCAUGCUUACCACUAUAUGGAAAGUAGUAAAUAAUAGGGCUGACAAGAUUGUGCCAUUUUAGGGGAAGUUUAUGUUGGUUUUGUUUUUGUUUGGUUUUGGUUUUUACAAACAGGCAUUCUUUGGUGACCUGAGAGCCUCUAGGCAGACUGAGUAGGUUACCACUCAGUACAUACAAUUUUCAAAGAACUCAGCAUGCCUAGUAUUUUACCAAAUACCUGUUGGACUACCAGCUGCUUUGCUGAAACUUGACUUUGUUUCUAUGCUUUCAAUGCAGUGGGAUGGGGUUUUUCCAGGCCUUUUCAAGUCACCAGCUCACAGCUCAGCUAUAGCCUUGGCUAGCAAGAUGAUGGAAGUUUGGAGCCAUUCUUUUAAGGCAAGAGAAUUAAGAGCCUGGCCCGUGAGGUGCAUGGCAGCUUCAGGUCUUGAGAGGAAAGAGAACUCUUAAAUUCACUGGAGUGGAGUGUAUAUUCAGCAUGAAGUUCAGUACCUCAAAUAUUCCUGCAAAACUAUUAAGCUAUUUGCAUUCUCCUCAACAUGGAAAUUCAACAGUCACUAUUAGAAGCAUUCCCUCGGACUGUCCAGUGCGC
rnacentral:lncRNA from 1 species